CCUACGGGAGGCAGCAGUGAGGAAUAUUGGUCAAUGGACGAGAGUCUGAACCAGCCAAGUAGCGUGAAGGAUGACUGCCCUAUGGGUUGUAAACUUCUUUUAUAAAGGAAUAAAACGAGGCACGUGUGCCUUUUUGCAUGUACUUUAUGAAUAAGGAUCGGCUAACUCCGUGCCAGCAGCCGUGGUAAUACGGAGGAUCCGAGCGUUAUCCGGAUUUAUUGGGUUUAAAGGGAGCGUAGAUGGGUUUUUAAGUCAGUUGUUAAAGUUUGCGGCUCAACCGUAAAAUUGCAAUUGAUACUGGCAGUCUUGAGUACAGUUGAGGUAGGCGGAAUUCGUGGUGUAGCGGUGAAAUGCUUAGAUAUCACGAAGAACCCCGAUUGCGAAGGCAGCUUACUAAACUGUGACUGACAUUGAUGCUCGAAAGUGUGGGUAUCAAACAGGAUUAGAUACCCUUGUAGUC
rnacentral:rRNA from 1 species